UACGUAGGGUGCAAGCGUUGUCCGGAAUUAUUGGGCGUAAAGAGCUCGUAGGUGGUUUGUCGCGUUGUUCGUGAAAACUCACAACUCAAUUGUGGGCGUGCGGGCGAUACGGGCAGACUGGAGUACUGCAGGGGAGACUGGAAUUCCUGGUGUAGCGGUGGAAUGCGCAGAUAUCAGGAGGAACACCGGUGGCGAAGGCGGAUCUCUGGGCCUUACCUGACGCUGAGGCGCGAAAGCUAGGGGAGCGAACAGG
rnacentral:rRNA from 1 species